AGUGAACGCUGGCGGUAGGCCUAACACAUGCAAGUCGAACGGCAGCACAGUAAGAGCUUGCUCUUACGGGUGGCGAGUGGCGGACGGGUGAGGAAUACAUCGGAAUCUACUUUUUCGUGGGGGAUAACGUAGGGAAACUUACGCUAAUACCGCAUACGACCUACGGGUGAAAGCAGGGGAUCUUCGGACCUUGCGCGAUUGAAUGAGCCGAUGUCGGAUUAGCUAGUUAGCGGGGUAAAGGCCCACCAAGGCGACGAUCCGUAGCUGGUCUGAGAGGAUGAUCAGCCACACUGGAACUGAGACACGGUCCAGACUCCUACGGGAGGCAGCAGUGGGGAAUAUUGGACAAUGGGCGCAAGCCUGAUCCAGCCAUGCCGCGUGGGUGAAGAAGGCCUUCGGGUUGUAAAGCCCUUUUGUUAGGAAAGAAAAGCAGCAGGUUAAUACCCCGCUGUUCUGACGGUACCCAAAGAAUAAGCACCGGCUAACUUCGUG
rnacentral:rRNA from 1 species